ACUAUUGAUGACCUCUUCCUGGAGGUUGGCCAUGAGAUCUCGACCAAUAGUUAUCGUUUUUCCAUGCUCGAGCUCGACCACUUCCAAUUCCUCAAUCGGGGAAAGUCUAUCCCUUGGCUCAAGCUCGAGGUCGGAAAGUUGCAGGACGUUUGUACUCAUUCUUCGAAUGCUAGUAACAUAGCACUGUCCGGUAGCUGUUUGGUCUCCUCGAACUACUCCGAUGCCAUGGCCUGUUGGGAACUUCAUGGCCAGGUGAAAAGUUGAUACAAUGGCUUGAAUCUUGUUUAGUAGGGGUCUUCCCAGAAUGAUGUUAUAAGCCAUAGAAGUGUUAACCACUUGGAAGGGUGUGAUCUCCGUCACUUGUACAUUGUCGAAACCCAAAGUACGCGGGAGCUCCACGAUUCCUUCCAGGAUAAUGAUUCCACCACCAAAUCCCUGUAGAGAAUUUUGACUUCUUUGAGCUGUUUGGGAGAGAUCCCUACUUUAGUGAAAGCCUCUUGUGAGAGUAUAUUUGUUGCACUCCCAUUAUCAAUCAGAAUCCUCUUUACUUCGAAAUUAGCUACAAUUGCAGAGACGACCAGGGCAUCGUCAUGAGGAUAUGAUACUCCUUCCAAAUCCCUUGCCCCAAAGGUGAUGUCUUUUGAGUUUAUCACUGGAUUCUCUUGAGGUAUGAGCAUGUUGGCGGGCAUAUUGUUUUCGUCCACUAUUUGUGUCUCUUCCGGAUGCUACGCCUCUAAUGAUAAUAUUAAUUGUCCCGACAUCAACAGUGGUUUGAGUACUGUUUCCUGCUCCAGGCUCUUUCCGAUUGUCACAAUCAUUCCUCGGGCGUUUAUCAUGACCAAUGUAAUUCCUUAAGAGUCCUCUUUUAAUGAGGGCUUCAAUUUCUCGCUACAAGGCUUGACAAUCCUCCGUGGUAUGCCCAUGAUCUUGGUGAAAUUCACAAUACUUGCUCCUAUCUCUUGUGUCAGGGGGUGACUUCAUUAUUGAAGGCUACUUCAACUCUUUCAUAUCCUUGAUCUCCAUUAAGAUAUUUACCUUGGAGGUGUUCAACCGGGUAAGAGGCCCUAGUGGGCCUUCAUUCUUGCGCUUCUUCUGAGGAUUCUCUAGCCGAGAAAUGGGAUCACGUUGCUUCUUGUUCUCGACCUUUUCGUGGGAAGGACCAGAUCUCCUUAGAUUCAACGUUUCCUCCAUAUUAAUGUGUUUUUCAGCUCGAGUAAGGAGCUUGGUCACUGUCUGUGGCGGGGUCUUUGAUAAGGACAUCUUGAAGGCUUCAUAUCUUAUGGCAUAAGUGAGGGCGGAGACAAUCGCUAUGAUGUGCAAGUCGGGUAUUUGAAGUCUUUCCUUGUUGAACCUCAUCAUAAAUCCUCGCAGGGUCCUUGGCGAAGUUGCAUGAAAGAGGCCGCAGUUUUUCUGAUUCGCUUGCUACUUGCAAAAAAGCCUGAGAACUUAUCAGCCAAAUCUGAGAAUGAGGCUAUGAAGUUGGGCUCCAAUGUUGAGAACCAAUCCCUAGCAACGUUUGUCAGCGUUUGCGGGAAGCCCUUGCACAUAACUUGAUCCGACACAACUUGCAAAUUCAUGACAUCAGUAUAUACAUUGAGAUGAUUGAUUGGAUCGAUCGUCCCAUCAUACUCUUUAAUGCAAGGAUAUUUGAAUCUGUCAGGCAGGGGAUAUGACAAUAUCUCUGGGGUGAAUGGAGUGUUAGGGAUAAAAUCCGUUGGCCUCUAAGCAUUCCGUUGCAAGCCAGCUGUAAUUCCUUCUUAACGAUCCGAGCAAUCUCUCCGGAAUCCAUAGCAACCGAUCUCGAGCCCGAGACCAUGUUACGAAUACCCGAGGUACCUACUCCACCAGUUGCGAGGUUUGGUGCUCGGGUUCGAGCAUCAGCCAUAAAACCACCAUGCCCUGCUUGCACCGGUGACAAAUGCGAAUUUCUUUGACUUAACAACUGCAUUAGCGUGGCCACCUGCUGACGGAGCUCUUCGAAGGCUUCAAUUGUGACGACCGCGGUCUGGGGUAUGGGCACUCCUGACGACUCUUCUUGAUGAGCCGGUUGAUCUUCUGCAGGAUGAGGGGAUGAGAGUGGAUGAGCUUGCGGGGCAAAUACCUGAUCGUGUGUUAACCAUGACUUUUGGUAGCGUUUCCCACAGAUGGCGCCAAUGAUGCUAUAAAAAAUUGUACCCGUUGAUUUUUCGAGCUUGAGGAGUUUGAAUUUGCACGAUCGUAGUCUUCUAGUACCAAAAACAAAUGCAACGAGGUAUGUUCUCGUCGUCCCUCCGAUACUUAAGUCAGAAAGAGAAUUAUGUGCGUGAGGCUAUAAAUUGAGAAUAAUCAAAACGUACCUGAAGUCUUGUUUGGGAUUGUGCCAGUUGGAUGUAUUUAUCCAAUGAAGUCUUGUUUGUGAGGAAUGUCCUACUCGUAAUGGAACUGUUUCACUAGUGGUAUUAGAGUUGAUAUAGAGUUCUUGGACGUUUAGGUGUCCGUUCGUUGGGCGCACACGUCUCAAAGAUCUGUUAAUGAAUGAUGACCCAAGGACAUAUUUUCAAGGACCAUAGGGGGUGAGUUUUCGUAUUCGUACGAGCAAAGUCCCCGAGAUACAAUCCUUGAUGAUUAAAAAUUAUCUCAAGGACUAAAAAAAAAUUUUCAGGAACAUUUGGCAGAAAAGUGAGGUGGAGCAUGUAGGGAGUCCUUGAAGAAAAAGGUCCUUGGGUAUGCAAUAUUGGUAUUAUCAGGUACCAAAUGGGGCUUCAAUUAUAAUUUUUCAUAUAAAAUUUUAUAAUUUAAUUAAAAGUAGAUAUUUUUCACCCAAAAAAUGAAAAAAUAAAAAAAAAGUUACAAGAAUUCAAUUUAAUUUUUUUUAUAGAAAAUAGAAAGAAAGAUAAAUGGAAUACAAUCAAUAGAAAAAUAAAUAAAUUUUAAUCAUACAUGUCCAUCGAAAAUUAAAUAAAAGAAAAAUUUUAAAAAAAUUUUUUUGUGAAAAUCUGCCAAAAUCUCGUGAUUAAUGAGUGACAAAUUUUAAAAUAUUAUAUGAAUACAUUUUGUUUAAAAGUGAGUACUCCAAAAUUUUUUAUAAAAAUAUCUAAAAGUCGUUAAAAUUUAAAUGUUCUAUUAAAAAUCUUAAUUCAAUACACACCCCUUAAAAUAACGUAUAAUCGAGUGGAUACUAACGUGCACACCAAAAAUUGGACUCCCUGCAACCUGGUUUGAAGGUUCAACCUGGAACCGCCCGCCCAUAGUUUUCACUUUUCAGGGGGUGCAAAGUCCGCUUUCUCUUCCCCUUUCUUCGCCUCAUUUCCACCUAUAAAAUCAAUCCGAUUUUGUGCUGUGUUGUAUUCUCUCUCUCAAAUCUUUUCAUCAACAAACCACAUCAUUACAAUCUCCGUUUCCGCGUUUCAGCCGAACCGGAUGGCGGAAUCUACCAUCACCAACUCAAAAUUUGAAUCAAUCAGAGAAUGGGUCGUUCAACACAAGCUCCGUACCGUUGGUAAGUUUUUAGAUAUCAAAUGAACAAUUAUAUUUCGACCUUGUCAAUUACGAAGUUCAUUUUCCUUGAAAAAUAUGCAUUAAUUUGGUUUUGUGAAUGAAGUUUUAGGAUCGAAUUUUGUAGUUGUGCGCCGAUGUUUAUUAUAUUGUUUCGGGUUCCAGCUGAUGCUUUGAAUUUGUAUUAUUAAAAGGGAGUCUAUGGGCGAGCGGUGUAAUUGGAUCCUUGGCUUACAAUUGGUCUCAGCCUGGCAAGACAAGUGUCAAGAUAAUUCACGCUAGGUAACUAUUAUUCAUAAUUCUUCGUAUCAGGGAUCUAGAUUUUGGAGGCCUUCAAUUUAUGAAAUUUAAAUGCAGGCUAUAUAGAACUGCUUUUGAACUUGUUUCGAUGAUUAUCUAAAACUGUUUCGUCGGGCUAAAAGAGCUUUUAGAAAGCUGAGGAAGCAUCCUAAGGAAUCUCCUUUACAAGAUGCUGAAGCCCAUAAACACUUACCUAUCAUGUUGUAAAAGAAUGCGGAUUUAGAUGGUCUGGCCGUUCGUGUUUAUCGGUUUUCAAUUCAAAGAAGCUCCUCUUCACAGGGACAAUUAGAUCCUAUUAGAACAAUUCACGAGACGGAGAAGUAGAUCAAGAUCAACAUGGCUUGAUAUGGUUGAAAAGAUUUGAUUUUCUUUGGAUCUUUUAGGCAGAUGGGGUGUCUAAUGAGAGAUGAAUAUAGGAAUUUUAUAUAGUAGAUCUCGAGUUUCAUUAGACACAAGUUGUAGUUUUUGUUCUUAGACAUAAAUAUUAUCACUUUGGCAUUCUAUAUGGCAUGGUAGGGUUAGUAAUGCCUCCAAUGAUUCCUAGGUUUUCUAAUAUUUUAAAAAUACUAUACAGGAAAAAUAUGAUUUAAACAUGGAUGAUAAUGUACAAAGGGACCUUUCCCUUCAGGAGAAUAGGGCUGGGGUGGUUUUGUGUUUAUAAUCUGUUAUUCAUUUCGCUUCCUGUUUUCAUUUCUCAUCGUUACACAGAUCAUAACAUGAACAUUAAAUGUUGGAUCAGCAUCCUGACUCUUUUUCUCCCUUGCUUAUAUGAAUACAAUAUCCACCAUCCAUGGUUCUUUUUGGGAAAUUUCGUUGCGUAUACUAAAGAACGAAAAAAAUUCAGGUUGCACGCACAAGCUCUAACGCUGGCUGCACUGGGUGGAGCUGCAGUUGUUGAGUACUUUGACCGCAAAGCUGGAAAAAAUGCCGAUCCACAUGCCAAGUUCCUCUCGUUGAAUACCUACUCACAAAAGGAUUAGACAGACUACAUUAUGGAGGCUAGAAAUGUCUCUUGCAAAAGUCCCAUGUUUAUACCUCUCCUAGGUCGAAAAAUACAAUUUUGUAUUUGUAACACGUGACAAUUUUUUAUGUUAGGAUUAUUUCAUUUCCAUUUGAAAUAAUUCUUACAGGUGGCAUGUCCUGUACCACGGUUUCAUUUUAUUAUUAAAUGGUCGUAAGUGAAUGGUUUUUUUUUUUUUUGAAAAAUUUCCGAGUUGACAGUUGAAUCUUUCAUACUUCUCCGAGUAAUUUGUUUUUGCCUUUUUUAAGGGUAACUCCACCAAGGGUCUCAACCUUUUGUAAUUGUGGCGUUGGGGUCCCCAAUCUAUCAUUUGCGGCAUCCAUGUCUCCAAUCUUAAAAACCUUUGUGAGCUUCAUUCGGAGCUAACCGGAAAGUGCCUAAUUGGAAUAGCUUUAUUCCUUGAUGUAAAUGUUAAAAGUGUGUGACUUUUCAAAUGAGCACUAGUUUUUUUUUUUUUUUUUUGAUCGGUAAAUAUAAAUAUAUAGAUAAAAAAUGUACCAUGUACAAGUACACCGGACAUACCCAGACAAGACAAUGUUCAUAAUUAAAUAAAAGUACACCGGACAUACCCGGGCGAAUCAAUGUCCAUAAAUGUACAUAAAAGAUCAAUGAUCAAAAUACUAAUAAACCCCAUUAGCAAGAGAAUCAAAACAUUCGGAUACAAAACGAAUAUAACUUUGUAUACGUGUGUUUUGAUUUUCCUAACAAUAGAUUCAACUUGCACUUUCGUACCAUAAAAAACACAACAAUUCCUAACCAUCCAAAUGUAGUAGACUGUAGUAGCAAAAGCAAUCCGUUUAACGCGGCUCGGCCAACUCUUCCUCCGCACUUCUUUUUUCAACCAUUUAAAAGAGCUUAGCAAAGUAGACAUGAAAUGCCUGAUACCCAACCAAAAUCUGAUCUGUUUCCAUAUUUCGGAAGUGACCCGGCAUCCAAAAAACAAGGGCUGGACAGAUUCGUCCAGCACCUCACACAGUGGGCAGAUACGGUCCAUCUCCAAGUGCAAUAGUUUGUCCCUCGUCUGGAGCUUACAAUGGACAGUUAACCAUAAAAUAAACGCAUGUUUGGGAGUGAUGGAACCAUCCCAAACCGUUCUGGACUAGAGAAGAAACCCCCCCCCCCCUUCGGCCUGAAGUACUCAUAAGUUGCUGAAGUAGAAAAAAUUCCAGAAUCUAUCCAGCUAAACAAUCUGUCCAUUUAUCAAGUCCCUGUGAUUUGUUUUAAUCAAGUGAAAUAUUUUAAAGAGACAUGGAUGCCUUUCGGGGUUCAUUUGACAUCCGGCAAGACUAAGCACCAUUUUAAAUGGUACAUUCUAUUCUUCAUAUAUAUGGCACGGUGACAAAAUAGUAUUUUAUAAUGAUAAAUUAUGGAUAAAGCUCGUCACAUCAAUUGAAAAACCUUUGGCCUCAAAACAUCGACACCGAGUUCUCAAUAAAAAAAUACUUAUUGAAUCAUUAUAGCUACUUAAGUCAUUGCAAUGUCUCUAGAUAUUAUGUUAGUUAGCUGCUCUAAGCCACAAAACAGAAUGGUGACUUUUCAAAUGGCACCUUACUAUUUUAUUUUUAUUUUUCCAAACAAACAACGUUCUCUUUAUUUUUUACUCAAUUAUAAUCUCGUGUACAACUUGCAAAGCAUAAGUUACACUAUCACAGACAAAUACAUCAAUGUUACUUUUCAAUCAACACCAAUUAAUAACGCCAACUUUUCAACCAAUAUCAACAAAAUAAAGGAAAACAACAUAUCAAUACCAAGCUUUCAUCCAACACCUACAAAUUAAAGCCAGUCAAAUCAAUAAUUAAAAACUAUAUAUGUGUAUCAAAACAGAGCAUAGGAAUUAUAAAUUAGCCAAAAAUCUGCUUCAAAGUUGUGGAUCAAAAUUGACAUAUAGCACUGUCGUCAUUAUGUCCAAAAAUGUAUAGACAUGAGCACAAAAUUCUCAACUUUGAUAUCAAAUGAUAUAGGAUAGGGUAAUUGGCACAAAAAGUCCCUACCUUUCAAGUCUAUUGUGGAAAACGUCCCUACCUUUCAUUUUUUGGUAUUUUUGCCCUCAUUUCAACCUUUCUUUGCGCUGGACGUCCUUCGGUCCAUAUUCCGUCAGUUUUUCCGUUAAUUAAAGGUAAUUGGCACAAAACGUCCCUACCUUUCAAGUCUAUUGUGGAAAACGUCCCUACCUUUCAUUUUUGACAUUUUUGCCCUCAUUUCAACCUUUCUUUGCGCUGGACGUCCUUCCGUUUAUAUUCCGUCAGUUUUUCCGUUAAUUAAAUACAAAAAUACCUUUUUCUUUCCAUAAACAAGGGUAAAAUUGUCCUCACCCACUUCACCCCUUUUUCCCGCCAUCAACUUAGUUCAUAAGUAACAGUAGCAGCAACAUGAAUCUGAAAAUACUUUAAAUGAUUAAGUUAAAUAAAGAAAAAAUAUCGUGAACACAUUAUAUUUCACAAUUCCACAGCUACUGUUGCUGUCAUCUUGUGUCACUGGAAAAAUUUAGAAAGACAUAUUAAAUGGGUAGUCAAUUUAUAAUGAGUCAAUUUAAAAUGAGCCAUUCAUCUUCUCCAUUGAGCCAAAAAGAGCCAUUCACCAUUUUGGCUCAUUAUAAAUUGACUACCCAUUUAAUAUGUCUUUCUAAAUCUUUCCAGUUACACAAGAUGACAACAAAAUUAGUUGUGGAAUUGUGAAAUAUAAUGUGUUCACGAUAUUUUUUCUUUAUUUAACUUAAUCAUUUAAAGUAUUUUCAGAUUCAUGUUGCUGCUACUGUUACUUAUGGACUAAGUUGAUGGCGGGAAAAAGGGGUGAAGUGGGUGAGGACAAUUUUACCCUUGUUUAUGGAAAGAAAAAGGUAUUUUUGUAUUUAAUUAACGGAAAAACUGACGGAAUAUGGACGGAAGGACGUCCAACGCAAAGAAAGGUUGAAAGGUUGAAAUGAGGGCAAAAAUGCCAAAAAAUGAAAGGUAUGGACGUUUUCCACAAUAGACUUGAAAGGUGGGGACGUUUUGUGCCAAUUAUCCUUUAAUUAACGGAAAAACUGACGGAAUAUGGACGGAAGGACGUCCAGCGCAAAGAAAGGUUGAAAUGAGGGCAAAAAUGCCAAAAAAUGAAAGAUAUGGACGUUUUCCACAAUAGACUUAAAAGGUAAGGACGUUUUGUGCCAAUUACCCAUAUAGGAUAUUACCACCACUUUGUCCAAAGACAAUAGCUUAUGACGGAAGUGCAACCUACCAUAUAUCACCCAAAAUCAAGUUCGGGAUUAUAGUGAAUGCAACAGGGUAGUUGUCAUGACAUAUUACUUUGUCCAAAGACAAUAGUUCAUUUCUUAUUGUUACACACAGAUCAUAACAUAAACUUUGAAAUCUUUGAUCAGCUUACUAACUCUUCCCCCCUGCUUAUAUGAAUACAAUAUAUGCUGUCCAUGUUUCUUCUUUUCAGGUCGGAAAUUUCGUUGCCUACAUUAAACUCAGGAAAAAAUUUCAGGUUGCACGCACAAGCUCUAACGCUGGCUGCUCUGGCUGGAGCUGCAGUUGCUGAGUACUAUGACCAGAAAGCUGGAAAAAUGCCGAUCCACAUGCUAAGUUCCUCACUUUGAAUACUUAUUCGCAGAAGGAUCAGACAGACUACAUUAUGGAGGCAACAAAUGUCUCGUGCAAGAGUCCCAUGUUUAUACCUCUCCUAGGUGAAAAAUACAAUUUUGUAUUUGUAACAUGUGACAUUUUUUAUGUUAGGAUAUUUUAUUUCCAUUUGUCAUAAUUCCUUAUUUUUUUUUUUUUUAUUAAGGUGUCCGCCUUCGACGACUAUUCCUUGGGUCUGUGAUCCGAUCCCUCUUUACACAGACCAAUUAAACCACGGGAUGUGCCUCCUACUGACCAGGAUCCGAACGCCUCUCCAACUGAACUGUCAAAGUGUCUAGUGGGCCAACCUACGUUGCGCCUUAUCAUUCCAAGAUAUUUUAUUUCCAUUUGUCAUAAUUCUUACAGGUGGCAUGUCCUGUGCCAUGGUUUCAUUAUUAUUAAAUGGUUCAAAGUGAAUGUUUUAUUUUGAAAAAAAAAAUCUUAUUGACAGUUAAAUUUUCAUAGUUUCUAAAUAUUUUUUAGUUUUAAUUUUUAAUGGUAAACUCCAUCGAGAGUCCCCAACCUUUUGUAAAUGUUCAUGUGGCAUAUAUGUCUCCAAUCUUAAAACCUGCGUGAGCUUCAUUCCGAGCUAAUAGAAAGGACCUAUUUGGACUAUAAACUGGCAUGGUAGGUAUAUUAGGAAAAAAAAUAUUAUUUCAACCAAAUUAAUUACAUUUUCUUAAUUUGUGUGAAAAUGGAAGCAAGUAUAUCUUUAUCGGACAAAGGGAAUGUAAUAUUUUCCAGAAAUUUUGAUGCUUUUUGUGGGGUCAAUUUGACAUCUUGUAACAAAACGAUACUCAGCCCCUGUUUGACAAAUAUGAUUUAUAUUUUAGUGAUGGAUGGUAUAAUCGAUAUUUUAAAAAUUGACCCAACCAUCGACCCCAAAAUCAAAAUUUUGACCGUUAUUUCAAUAUUUCAACCAUUAUAUUUGACCUUUUCUCACACGGGUAGGAUCCACUUUUUUCUCUAAUGGUCAAAAAAAAAUUCUCAAAUCACUACCUAACAAAUCCUUAAAAUUUUAAUAAUGGUCAAAAAAUCAAUUGUCAAAUCACUACCGUACAAACCCUUAAAAUUUUAAAAAUAUACAUUUACAAAAAUUAAAAAAAUUUACAUUUAAAAUUUUUAAAAUAUACACAUUUACAUAGGUUGAAUUACGGGUUUUUCAAAGAUUGACCAAUUUAACGGGUUUUGGGACAAGUUUUUAAUUAGAAGUUUUAUAAGCCUAACCAGACUGAUUUUAGUCCCGAUUUUUCCUAUUGAACAAGUUAGGUUGAUUCGAUUUUUAAACAUCGGGGAUGACUAAUUAAAAAGUUCAGUGAUUAAUAGAGUAAUUUUUAAAAUUCAAUGACCCAGUGAAAAUUUAUCACAGUUUGACGAUGAUUCAUUUUAUUAACCCACUAAUAUAUAUUACUGUCACUUUGUUUGAAAUCAAUAACUCAUUUCAAAGGUGCAAUUCAUCAUAUAUCACCUAAAAUCAAGCUCACAAUUAUAUGAAAUGUACCAGGGGUCGGGCGAGGUAGGUCAGGUUUGACCAUUACAAUCGUUGCUUUGUUUGACGUCCCAUUUAAUAUUAAUUUAUUUUUAAUGUUAUUUAUUUAUAUUUUAGCACAAUGUGAAUCCAAAGCAUAAAAAUAAAAUAAGUAGAUUUAGCCCCUGUUUGACCCCCAUUUUUGGUAAUGAAAAUGAGGGAAAUAGUGUUUUGUUGAAAAAAUGAGUGGUUGAAAAAGAAGGAAAAAUUUUCGAUUUACGUGUAAUAUUAUUUUAUAAAAGAUUGUGUGGUUGAAAAUAAGAGAGAAAAAAAUAGAAUGUAAUGAAAUGUAAUUUAAUGGGAAUCAAACAAGGGCUUAGGUUGAUUUCGAAAAAUUCAGGAAAUUUCGUCAUUCUAGUCUUAUUCAGGAAUGGAAAAAAUUAGCAUCCCUACUCGAAAAAUUUGCCCAAUGUGAGGCUUACCCUCGUUUAAAUCAUGCUCAUGGAUUAAAAAUUCAUAGCAAACGUUUCAGAUACUAUCAUUUGCCUCGUUUGAUAGAUAUAAGUAUUCUUGAAGUUCAUCCAACACUCAAAAGUUCUUUAAUUUUCUCAAAAUGAAAUCAUUUGAACGGGCCGGAGGCCAUUUCAGGAGCCAAAUUCAAAAAUACCGGCCUGAACCAGAUAGGGUUUGUCUAGGCCCAAUUCAUGUUUACUCUUAUAAACCCUAACCCUAAUUAUUCAUCUGCGCCAUUUCGCGGCUGUUCUAUCUCACCAAGCAGAAUAAUCAGCCUCUGGUCAGCUCGUAUUACUUGUAAAAAUCCAUCUAUUAUACGUAUUUAUAUAUUUUCUGUCUUCGUUAUGUCUGAUUCUUACUCUAGUUUUUCUGAAAUUAUUUCAUACUUUGUGAAGGAAGAAUUUGAUUGAAACUAAAGAAAAUGAGUAAAGGAGUAGCAGGCGGCGCUGUGAAGGGAGGGAAGAAGAAGGCGUCGACGUUCGUGAUUGACUGCUCAAAGCCGGUGGAGGAUAAGAUCAUGGACAUUGCUUCAUUGGAAAAGUUCCUCCAAGAACGCAUCAAGGUCGGCGGCAAGCCCGGUGCCCUCGGUGACUCCGUUACUGUCACCCGCGAUAAGAACAAGAUUACCGUCGUUGCCAACGAGACCAGCUUUUCCAAGCGGUAACAUUAUAAUUUCACUACCUUUUUAGAUUGAUUGUGCUUUUCUAGAGCUAGAUGAAUGUUAGUGAUUUGGUACGGUUAUUUUAAUUCGUUACCUGUUAAUUACACGCUGGGAGAAAUUAGUUUAUGUUAGUUUUAAUGCUUUUUCUUUUUUAUAAACACGCAUGAAAGUAAAUUGGAUAGUAAAAAUGAGGUUUUGAAAUUGGGUCUGGAGUCUAUUGUGUUUGAAUCAAGUUAUUGAUAUUGUCAGUGGCUAACCCAGGAAUGGAAGUUAGCUAGGGCAGGCGGUAGUUGACCGUCAACGUCAACGACUAUAAUUGUGAGGUCAUCUAUUAACAUUUAAUUAAAUGAUAUUAAAAAUUCUUCAAUCUAUAUGUAAAUGCAAAAAAACGUAAAAAUUAUAUACAUGUGAAAAUAUAAUUCGAUAGUAUUAGAGGAUCAAUACACAUAGUCUCUUACCAGACAUAUAAUGAUUAGUACGUAAAUAUUAUUGGAUUGUUUAAAGUUAUUUAUGAAGUACCAGAAAAUUUGAAUAUUGAGCGCGCCAUCUCUAAACAUACAUCCGACAUCUCUAAAGAAAAGUUUCUCAUCAAUCACAAGUAAAACUAGUAAAAGGAAACCUAAGUUGCAGCCCAAAGGUGAGAGAGAUUGGAUUUCUCAGAUCAAAAAUUAUUAUAGUUAACCCCCUAGUACCAUGAGAGCAAAAUUAUCAACUAAUAAGAAUUGAACAUACCGCCAUUGGCUAUUUGUUGCAUCCAGUUUCUAACAUCAAAUGAUGAUAGUUGCGACCUCGAAUAAAAUGCUGCCACUUGUCCAUUUAUGGAAUUAUGCAAUUAGGUAAAGAGUUUGCACCUUUGGGGUUUCAAUCAGAGCUUCAGCCUUUCCCAAUCGCCUUAGGUUUGCCUUUUAUGAUUUGGGGGAAAUUGAAAUUUGAAAAUGACCAUGAAUUGAUUAAUGAUUCAUUGAUUUGGAUUUUGGGCAAUUGGAUUUGGGCCUAAUGUUUUUAAACAAAAAGAAGCUCAUUACAUUCAAUUGUCAUCAGCCCAAAAGAAAAAAGGGAAAAAAACACAGUCUUCUUCAUUUCUUCUUCCUGCCUCUCCGACUUCCUCCAUGACUGACUCUUUGCAAGUCUACAACUGCAAACCAAGCUAUCGGUUGCAACAUAAUUUAAUCAUCUAUCAUCUAGUUUCCUUCCAUUCUGCGCUCAAGCUUUUGGAGACUGCAACAAUGGAACUGCAACUUCCACUCGGCGGUCCCGGCGGCUAUUGAAGACUCCGACGGAUCUAGCUAGGGCGGCCGCUCUAGCUCGCCAGUACCUGGAUCCGCUACUGGAUAUUGUGCCAAAGUAAUGGUCAGCUUAGUUAUGCCCAUAAGAAAUUGACAUUACUCCUCCUAAGAUAUACAAUGAUUCGGUAAUGUUUGGUCUAAGUAAAAAAUGAUUUUUGAGGGGAAGAUUAUACUCAUAGUUCCGCAAUCCUUUAUAUAAGCAUUGUGCAGACAUGCACAUCCAUGUGAAGCUACAAGAAAGACCUUUUUCUCAAGUUUCUUUGUUAUUUAUGAACAGAUAUUCCUAUAAAGUGGUAAUUUGAUAGGAUAAUUAGAAGAAUUUGAGAUAUCGAAAUUGGCUUUGUAUAGUUUUAUUUCGCUAUCCAUGUCAUCCUAUAUUAGUUAACAUUUUCAAUCUUUCGAGGGAGAAACUUGUAUUUGUUGGGGAAGUUCAGAUUUAGAUCUUUGACCUUAAAUGGGUAGAGGGAGCUGAAUAAUGAUUAAUGAAUAAAGGAGCUACUUUCAUGUCAUUAAGGGAUUAUUGAGGAUUUGCUUAGUCCAUGUUUGGCUAAUUUUUUAUAACUCAUUUUUCAACCAC
rnacentral:lncRNA from 1 species